UAGGGAAUAUUGCUCAAUGGGGGAAACCCUGAAGCAGCGACGCCGCGUGAGUGAUGAAGGCCUUCGGGUCGUAAAGCUCUGUUGCAGGGGAAGAAAAAAAUGACGGUACCCUGCGAGAAAGGACCGGCCAACUUCGUGCCAGCAGCCGCGGUAAGACGAAGGGUCCUAGCGUUGCUCGGAAUCACUGGGCGUAAAGCGCGUGUAGGCGGCUUUGUAAGUCAGGUGUGAAAUCCCGAGAUUCAAUUUCGGAAGUGCAUCUGAUACUGCAAAGCUUGAAUAUGGGAGGGGGUAGUAGAAUUCCUGGUGUAGUGGUGAAAUACGUAGAUAUCAGGAGGAAUACCGGUGGCGAAGGCGGCUACCUGGCCCAAUAUUGACGCUGAGACGCGAAAGCGUGGGGAUCAAACAGG
rnacentral:rRNA from 1 species